UGGUCUAAAAAGGAAAUUAUGAAUGUUGAUUAAUUACGUGAUACAUCUAACAAUAUUGAGAAUGUUGAUGACUUUUCUUAUAAACUUGCUCAAAUUUUACAACGUUCGACUGAAGACAUCCUGUAUAAGCGAUCAGAUUUGGCUACAACAGGAGGAGCGACGCCAUGUCAAAAUUUAACAACAUGGUGCCAGUUUUUUCUUGACAGUUAAAAAAUACCUAAACUGGUACCUUGUUGAUAAACUAACAUGAACAGUUCAGACUUAGACAAGAACUAGUCAGCGGCUAUCUAUCUAUUAUGAGGAUUGAGGAGCAAACAAGCUGGAUCGUGAUAUCACGUCAAGCGAAAGCCCACCUGGACUUGAUAUGGCCGGACAACACGGCCCAUACUGACGCGUCAGUUCCAACGUGUUCGUGGCCCAGACCGACCAGAGAGAAACUCGGCCUGGCCCGUCCCCUUCCUCCGCCGCCCCCGCCGCACUGCCCGGCGGAUGCUGCCGCUCCGGUGGACCAUAUCCCCAGUUUUGAUGGAUUCCGGUCGUCCGUGCGCUCCUGUGGCAGGCCGCCACUCUUCCGUACCAGCACCCCUCCCCCCUCCUGCCGUCUCCGGCAGCGGCCUCCGCUGCCACCGCAUCGACAGGUUUGAUUCACAGGUACUCCAAUCAACUAGGAGUAGUACAGAUUUGUGGAUCCUCCUACCAAUCAGCUACUCGUGCAAGGAUUCCGAGCGCUCGCCGGCGAGGCGAAGAGCUUGAGCCUAUCAGAGCAAUAAUCCAGAGGGGACGAGCGGCUAAUCGAACGCACCGUGAAAUCACACCAUUGGCACGAAACGGUCAAGAGUGAAGACCACCUCUUCUACAAGUGUGAUACACAGUCAGAUUGUGG